rfam:Salmo salar isolate Sally breed double haploid chromosome ssa09, whole genome shotgun sequence.
UCCCGUGUGGCUCAGUCGGUAGAGCAUGGUACUUGCAAUGCCAGGAUUGUGAGUUCGAUUCCCACGGGGG